rnacentral:rRNA from 1 species
UAGACGGUAGGGUAUUGGCCUACCGUGGCUAUGACGGGUAACGGGGAAUUAGGGUUCGAUUCCGGAGAGGGAGCCUGAGAAACGGCUACCACAUCUAAGGAAGGCAGCAGGCGCGCAAAUUACCCAAUCCUAAUACAGGGAGGUAGUGACAAGAAAUAACAAUACAGAACCUCACGGUUUUGUAAUUGGAAUGAGUUAAGUAUAAACCCCUUAACGAGUAUCAAUUGGAGGGCAAGUCUGGUGCCAGCAGCCGCGGUAAUUCCAGCUCCAAUAGCGUAUAUUAAAGUUGUUGCAGUUAAAAAGCUCGUAGUUGAUUUUCUGUUAAUUUUUAUGUAUAAUAUUGCGAUAUUUACAUAAUAUUAACAUAAUUCACAUUACUUUACAGUAUGUGGAACUUUACUUUGAGAAAAUUAGAGUGCUUAAAGCAGGCUAUUGCCUUGAAUACUCCAGCAUGGAAUAAUAUUAAGGAUUUUUAUUCUUCUUAUUGGUUCUA